rnacentral:rRNA from 1 species
UACCCUACGGGGGCAGCAGUGGGGGAUAUUGCACAAUGGGGGGAACCCUGAUGCAGCGACGCCGCGUGGGUGAAGAAGCGCCUCGGCGCGUAAAGCCCUGUCAGCAGGGAAGAAAAUGACGGUACCUGAAGAAGAAGCCCCGGCUAACUACGUGCCAGCAGCCGCGGUAAUACGUAGGGGGCAAGCGUUAUCCGGAUUUACUGGGUGUAAAGGGUGCGCAGACGGCGAUGCAAUCCAGGAGUG